GGGCCUAUAGCUCAGUAGGUUAGAGCGUCCGGCUCAUAACCGGGAUGUCCCAGGUUCAAGUCCUGGUGGGCCCA
rnacentral:tRNA from 1 species